rnacentral:lncRNA from 1 species
GGUUAAUAGCAAAUUACAGCGUGUUUGGUUCGAGUUACAUAAUAGAAAUAAUUGCCUAUAUAUCCUUCAAAACUUCGAAAAUAUCUCAUUUACCUCUGUUUUUUUUUUCUUUCUAAUAUACCCCUCAUAUGUUCCUCCGUUAUUUCAAAAUGCCCCUACAGUUAAUUAUCAUCCGUUAAGUUAAUUUGGGUUAAACGUGAGUUAAAUAUCUAUCACAGUUUAAAAAAAUUAAAAUGUCACUUUUGACCUUAACUUUCGGGCAAAUAAAAAAUAUUAGUGAUGGUAGAAGAUUAUAUUUGAAAAGACCAAAAAGCAAAAUACUUUUUCUGCUCCUAACUUAAGGGCAAAUAAGAAAAGUGGGUGCUGAUAGAAGGGUAUAUUUGAAAGGGCAAAAUAGUAAUUUUAUAGAGAUAAUAGAGUUCAUUAACAGAUUUUAACUCUAGAGACAUAUUUGAAAUAAGUUGAAACGUAAAAAGGUAUUUUCAAUAUUAGCCUUCUAAGAGAGGGUAAAUCAGAAAGUCGGGAACUUUUCAGAGAUAUAUAAACAAUUGUCCCUAUGUAAUAUUAUAGAGUAUUUCGAUAUAUCCAGAUAUCCUGAAUUUCUAAAUGAGAUUACUACUGAUGCUAUAUUAGUGCGUUUGGUUUAAUGCAAUAAUGUAAUACUGGAUUGCAGUGUUUAUAGCAUUACUAAAGGUGUUCGUGGAUCGGAUCGAUUCUGGGUAGUUGAUAUACUGUACCUGCACCCAAAAACAAAAUGGUUAGAAAAAAAAAAAUAUACGCUACCCAUUUAACUUCGAGUCGAGUUUGGGUCUGGAUACUUAAGUUACUAAUAUACCUAUCGGAUCUAUUUGAACGGAUCUGGAUAGUGACUAUCCGUAUACUACCCAUUCGAGAUCGGGUAUGGGUCAGAUCUAAAUCGAGUGCGAAUACCCGUAUACAUUGAUUUUUUUUUUUAUAGACUUUAUUAAAUUGUCUAAGCAAAACUUGUAUCGGUCAUUAUAUUGACUGAUUAAAAAAUCUAAAAUUCAAAACAAUUUCAUAUGUAAACACACAAAAAUAGGAAAAUUAUGAUACCAUAUUAUAAAUAAAGAUAAUAUAACUUGUGAUAAAUACUAAUAUUAUAUACUAACAUUAAAAAAAAAGAAAACAAAAGAAUCAGAAAAUUUACUAAACAGAAUAUCCAUUAAAAAAAUAGGUUGUUGACUAUAAUUGGAGAAGGGAUUUAGGAAAAACCCACCUGUGCCACACUUGUACAGAAUUAAUAUCACUGAUGAUGAUGAUGAUAGAAAUAUUAUUUCACUAAAAACUCUUAGAAGGAAAUGAAAUAAAAAAAACAAAGAGUAAAUAACAAAGAGUAAAAAGAUUAGGAAAAAAAAAGAGUAAAAGAGCGGCUAGCAUUUCAAUGUUUUACUAGGAUGAAAAUACUUAGAGACCCUUCAUCUAUAAGUUCUAAUAAAAUUGAUCCAUCAACUUCAAAUGUUCAAAUCUUUUUUAUUUACUAUCAGAUAUUUCAUCUGAUUUGGGUCCGGAUUUGAAAACUAUUUCGGACUCUACCCAUUUAAAAGUUGGAUUCGGGUCGGGUCCAAAUCGGGUAUGGGUAUAAAAUAUCCAAGUCCAUAUCCGAAACUUUAAUAAGUAAUUUUUUUUAUCCGUAUACAAUUUAUUUUUUAUCGGGUCCGGAUAGAGUCCGGGUAGGGUCUGGAUCGGGUAUGGCAUAUCGAAUAUUUUUGACAGUCUUAAACAUUACUAUAUUUCGUUCAAUUUAUGAAAUUCAGUAAUUUUGACAAUAAAAUAAAAUCUAUUCCAAAAUUGCUCUUAACCAUAUUGGCAAACUUUUUUUUACUAUUUAUAAAUAAUAUUUUUUUAUUAUUUAAAUAAUUUAAUUUUUUAAAAUUUAAAAUUUGAACAAAAAUGUAAAUUUAAUAUUUUAAUUUAAAAUAUAAAUAUGAAAUUUAUAAAUUUAAAAUCUUAAAUUUAAAUAUAAAUCUAAAUUUAAAAUUUAAAAUUUAAAAUCUAAAUUUAAAAUUAAGAAUUUAAAAUACAAAUUUAAAUUUAAACUUAAAAUUUAAAAUUUUAGAUUUAAAUUUAAACUUUCAAAUUUUCAAUUUUAUAUUUUUAAACUUCAAAUUUAAAAUUUAAAUUUAAUUGUAAAUUUUUAAUUUUUAAAUUUUAAAUUUGAAGUUUAAAAUUUUAAAAUUUAAAAUUUAAAAUUUAAAAUUUAAAAGUUGACAAUUUAAAAUUUUAAAUUAAAAUUUUUAAAAUGACGUAUUGAAAGUGUUUCGAUAGUUGGAGGGGUAAAUUUGUAACGUUAUAUAACAUGCAAGAUUAGUUGCCUUCAGUAAAUCAAGAUAUACACACAAUUUCCCCUCAGUAAUAUUUUCGGUGUAAUCCUGCACUAUUUAUAAUGCUACAUUACUGACCAGAUUACAUACCGGAUAAACCAAACACGGUAAUCCUUGGCAGGAUUACUUGUAAUCCUGCCAGGAUAACCCGAACCAAAUGCACCACCCUUAGUCUACAGCAACAUCGUCGAAAGACUGUAAGCAACACUUUUAAGGACUUUCCUUUUAAAACUUUUCUUUUAAAAAUCAGUGUGAAAAAUUAGAAAAGAGAAAUGAUUGAUUAUAUUACACUAGAACCUUUCAAACAUUUGAAAA